rnacentral:rRNA from 1 species
GGAGGAAAAGAAACUAACAAGGAUUCCCCUAGUAACUGCGAGUGAAGCGGGAAAAGCUCAAAUUUAAAAUCUGGUAGUCUUUGGCUGCCCGAGUUGUAAUCUAGAGAAGCAUUAUCCGCGUUGGACCGUGUACAAGUGUCCUGGAAUGGACUAUCAUAGAGGGUGAGAAUCCCGUCUUUGACACGGACUACCAAGGCUUUGUGAUGUGCUCUCAAAGAGUCGAGUUGUUUGGGAAUGCAGCUCUAAAUGGGUGGUAAAUUCCAUCUAAAGCUAAAUAUUGGCGAGAGACCGAUAGCGAACAAGUACCGUGAGGGAAAGAUGAAAAGAACUUUGGAAAGAGAGUUAAACAGUACGUGAAAUUGCUGAAAGGGAAACGCUUGAAGUCAGUCGCGUUGGCUGAGGAUCAACCUUGCUUCUUGCUUGGCUUACUCCUCAGUUGACGGGUCAGCAUCAGUUUUGACCGGUGGAUAAAGGCUAAGGGAAUGUGGCACCCUCGGGUGUGUUAUAGCCCUUGGUCAUAUACAUCGGUUGGGACUGA